GUGCCGUAGACAGGGCCGGCCCACAGGCGUGAGGCCAGAGUUAGUGGUGAGCUCCUGUGGGUCUGCACUGCACCCCAACCAUGGACAGGCAGUGUUCUGAAAGGCCAUACAGCUGCACCCCGACGGGUAGAGUGUCGUCAGCCGUGUCCCAAAACUCCAGAAUCUCCCCCCCUGUCUCCACAUCCAUGAAGGACUCAUCUUGCAUGAAGGUACACCAGGACUCUGCCCGCAGGGACAGAUGGUCACACCCCACCACCAUCCUGCUUCACAAGUCGCAGAGCAGCCAGGCCACACUGAUGCUACAGGAGCACAGGAUGUUCAUGGGGGAAGCCUACAGUGCAGCCACCGGCUUCAAGAUGCUGCAGGACAUGAACAGUGCUGACCCCUUCCACUUGAAGUACAUCAUCAAGAAGAUCAAGAACAUGGCUCAUGGCUCCCCCAAGCUGGUGAUGGAAACCAUCCACGACUACUUCAUAGACAACCCAGAGAUCUCCAGCAGGCACAAGUUCCGGCUGUUCCAGACCCUGGAGAUGGUCAUCGGGGCCAGUGACGUCCUGGAGGAGACCUGGGAGAAAACUUUCACACGGCUCGCUCUGGAGAACAUGACCAAGGCCACGGAGCUGGAAGACAUAUACCAGGACGCGGCCAGCAACAUGCUGGUGGCCAUCUGCAGGCACUCGUGGCGGGUGGUGGCGCAGCAUCUGGAGACGGAGCUCCUGACGGGCGUCUUCCCACACAGAAGCCUCCUCUACGUGAUGGGCGUCCUGUCCUCCAGCGAGGAGCUCUUCAGCCAGGAAGACAAGGCCUGCUGGGAAGAGCAACUGAUCCAGAUGGCCAUCAAGUCAGUCCCGUUCCUGAGCACGGAUGUGUGGUCCAAGGAGCUGCUGUGGACACUCACCACGCCCAGCUGGACCCAACAGGAGCAGUCCCCUGAGAAGGCCUUCCUGUUUACCUACUAUGGGCUAAUCCUUCAAGCUGAAAAAAAUGGUGCCACGGUCAGGAGACACCUGCAAGCCCUCCUGGAAACAUCCCACCAGUGGCCCAAGCAGAGGGAGGGCAUGGCUCUGACCUUGGGGCUGGCGGCCACACGCCACCUGGAUGACGUCUGGGCCGUCCUGGACCAGUUUGGCAGGAGCAGGCCCAUCAGAUGGAGUCUCCCCAGCUCCUCCCCAAAGAACUCGGAGGACCUGCGCUGGAAAUGGGCCAGCAGCACCAUCCUCCUGGCAUACGGCCAGGUGGCAGCCAAAGCCCGGGCCCACAUCCUCCCGUGGGUGGACAACAUCGUGUCCAGGAUGGUCUUCUACUUCCACUACAGCUCUUGGGACGAGACCCUGAAGCAGAGCUUCCUCACAGCCACCCUGAUGCUGAUGGGUGCGGUGAGCCGGAGUGAGGGCGCCCACAGCUACGAGUUCUUCCAGACCUCUGAGCUCCUCCAGUGUCUGAUGGUUUUGAUGGAGAAGGAGCCCCAGGACACUCUGUGCACGCGGAGUCGCCAGCAGGCCAUGCACAUCGCGUCCAGCCUCUGCAAGCUGAGGCCUCCCAUAGACUUGGAAAGGAAGUCUCAGCUCCUGUCCACCUGCUUCCGCAGCGUGUUUGCCCUGCCACUGCUGGAUGCCCUGGAGAAGCACACCUGCCUCUUUCUGGAGCCUCCCAACAUCCAGCUGUGGCCCGUGGCUCGGGAGCGGGCAGGCUGGACGCACCAGGGCUGGGGACCCAGGGCAGUUCUUCACUGCUCUGAGCACCUACAGAGCCUGUACAGCAGGACCAUGGAGGCGCUGGACUUCAUGCUGCAAAGCCUCAUCAUGCAGAACCCCACCGCCGACGAGCUGCAUUUCCUGCUGUCGCACCUGUACAUCUGGCUGGCGUCGGAGAAGGCGCAUGAGCGGCAGCGGGCUGUGCACAGCUGCAUGAUCCUCCUCAAAUUCCUGAACCACAAUGGCUACUUGGACCCAAAAGAGGACUUCAAAAGGAUUGGGCAAUUGGUGGGCAUACUGGGGAUGCUGUGCCAGGACCCAGACAGGGCCACCCAGCGCUGCAGCCUGGAAGGGGCAAGCCAUCUCUACCAGCUCUUGAUGUGCCACAAAACAGGAGAAGCUUUGCAGGCAGAAUCACAGGCCCCCAAGGAGCUCUCCCAGGCCCAUUCGGACGGAGCCCCACUCUGGAACAGCAGAGACCAGAAGGCCACUCCCCUGGGCCCCCAGGAGAUGGCAAAGAACCACAUCUUCCAGCUCUGCAGCUUCCAAGUCAUCAAGGAUAUCAUGCAGCAGCUCACACUGGCAGAGUUGAGCGACCUCAUCUGGACGGCCAUCGACGGCCUGGGCUCCACCAGCCCCUUCCGCGUGCAGGCAGCCUCCGAGAUGCUGCUCACAGCCGUCCAGGAGCACGGGGCCAAGCUGGAGAUCGUUUCCAGCAUGGCCCAGGCCAUCCGCCUCCGCCUGUGCUCUGUCCACAUCCCGCAAGCCAAGGAAAAGACCCUGCACGCCAUCACCCUGCUGGCCCGGAGCCACACCUGUGAGCUGGUGGCCACCUUCCUGAACAUCUCCAUCCCCUUGGACAGCCACACCUUCCAGCUGUGGAGGGCCCUGGGGGCUGGGCAGCCCACGAGCCACCUGGUGCUGACCACACUGCUGGCCUGUCUGCAGGAGCGACCCCUGCCCACCGGUGCCAGCGACAGCAGCCCCUGCCCCAAGGAGAAGACCUACCUGCGUUUGCUGGCUGCCAUGAACAUGCUGCACGAGCUGCAGUUUGCCCGGGAGUUCAAGCAGGCCGUGCAGGAGGGCUACCCCAAGCUCUUCCUGGCCCUCCUCACCCAGAUGCACUAUGUCUUGGAGCUGAACCUGCCCAGCGAGCCCUAGCCCAAGCAGCAGGCCCAGGAGGCGGCCGUGCCCAGCCCCCAAAGCUGCAGCACGUCACUGGAGGCACUGAAGAGCCUGCUGUCCACCACGGGGCACUGGCAUGACUUUGCCCACCUGGAGCUGCAGGGAUCCUGGGAGCUCUUCACCACCAUCCACACCUACCCGAAGGGCGUGGGCCUCCUUGCCAGGGCCAUGGUGCAGAACCACUGCAGGCAGAUCCCAGCGGUGCUGCGUCAGCUGCUGCCCAGCCUGCAGAGCCCACAGGAGCGUGAGAGGAAGGUGGCCAUCCUCAUCCUCACCAAGUUCCUCUACAGCCCUGUCCUGCUGGAGGUGCUUCCCAAACAAGCUGCCUUGACCGUGCUGGCACAAGGCCUCCACGACCCCAGCCCUGAGGUCCGCGUGUUGAGUCUGCAGGGCCUAAGCAACAUCCUCUUCCACCCAGAUAAGGGAAGCCUGCUCCAGGGACAGCUGCGGCCCUUGCUCGACGGCUUCUUCCAGAGCAGCGACCAGGUGAUCGUGUGCAUCAUGGGCACCGUGUCAGACACGCUGCACCGCCUGGGCGCGCAGGGCACAGGGAGUCAGAGCCUCGGCGUUGCCAUCAGCACACGCUCCUUCUUUAAUGACGAGCGGGACGGGAUUCGGGCGGCAGCCAUGGCACUGUUCGGGGACCUGGUGGCGGCCAUGGCAGACAGGGAGCUGAGCGGCCUGCGGACCCAGGUGCACCAGAGCAUGGUGCCCCUGCUCCUACACCUGAAGGACCAAUGCCCAGCUGUCGCCACGCAGGCCAAGUUCACCUUCUACCGCUGUGCUGUGCUGCUCCGCUGGCGGCUACUGCACACCCUCUUCUGCACGCUGGCCUGGGAGAGGGGCCUCAGCGCCCGCCACUUCCUCUGGACCUGCCUGAUGACCCGCAGCCAGGAGGAAUUCAGCAUCCACUUGUCACAGGCCCUCAGCUACCUGCACAGCCACUCCUGCCACAUCAAGACCUGGGUGACACUCUUCAUAGGCCACACCAUCUGCUACCACCCCCAGGCCGUGUUCCAGAUGCUGAAUGCUGUGGACACCAACCUGCUGUUCCGCACUUUUGAACAUCUCAGAAGUGACCCUGAGCCCAGCAUCCGGGAAUUCGCCACCAGCCAGCUCUCCUUCCUCCAGAAGGUGUCGGCCAGACCCAAGCAGUGACCUCCAGCCAUCCUCCCCCACCCACCGCCUUCCCCUCCCGUGUCCACCUGGUCAGCCCUGCCCCAUCCGCCCCCCACAGAGCUUGGUUGCAUAACGUUUUUCCAUUUGAAAGAAAGAUCUAGAUUCAACAAAA